UAGGGAAUCUUCGGCAAUGGGGGGAACCCUGACCGAGCAACGCCGCGUGAGUGAAGAAGGUUUUCGGAUCGUAAAGCUCUGUUGUUAAGGAAGAACGAGUGUGAGAAUGGAAAGUUCAUACUGUGACGGUACUUAACCAGAAAGGGACGGCUAACUACGUGCCAGCAGCCGCGGUAAUACGUAGGUCCCGAGCGUUGUCCGGAUUUAUUGGGCGUAAAGCGAGCGCAGGCGGUUAGAUAAGUCUGAAGUUAAAGGCAGUGGCUCAACCAUUGUAGGCUUUGGGAACGGUUUAACUUGAGUGCAGAAGGGGAGAGUGGAAUUCCAUGUGUAGCGGUGAAAUGCGUAGAUAUAUGGAGGAACACCGGUGGCGAAAGCGGCUCUCUGGUCUGUAACUGACGCUGAGGCUCGAAAGCGUGGGGAGCGAACAGG
rnacentral:rRNA from 1 species